AUUGAACGCUGGCGGCAGGCUUAACACAUGCAAGUCGAGCGGGGGAGGUUGCUUCGGUAACUGACCUAGCGGCGGACGGGUGAGUAAUGCUUAGGAAUCUGCCUAUUAGUGGGGGACAACAUUCCGAAAGGGAUGCUAAUACCGCAUACGCCCUACGGGGGAAAGCAGGGGAUCUUCGGACCUUGCGCUAAUAGAUGAGCCUAAGUCGGAUUGGCUAGUUGGUGGGGUAAAGGCCUACCAAGGCGACGAUCUGUAGCGGGUCUGGAAGGAUGUCCCCCCAGACUGGGACUGAGACACGUACCAGACCCCUCCGGGAGGAACAAGUGGGCACGAUUGGCCAAUCGGCGGAGCCCUGGUCCAUCCAUGCCGCGUGUGUGAAGAAGGCGAUUUGGUUGUACAGCACUUUAAGCGAGGAGGAGGCACUUAAGGUUAAUUCCCUUGAUGGGUGGACGUUACUCGCAGAAUCAGCCCCGGCAAACUCUGUGCCAGAAUCCACCGUAACAC
rnacentral:rRNA from 1 species